rnacentral:lncRNA from 1 species
CCUGAGGCAUGCCUCAUUUUCAUCAAGCUCCUUAUUGGAAUCCGCCAUCGGCGGGGAGAGCACGUGGAUCCUUCGUCGCCGUCGCCUUCUCCCUGCAUAGAGUCAGGAUUUUGGCGUGCGGUGAUCCCUGAAUCUGCCAGGCAUUUUUUUUUUUUUUUUUCUUAUUUAACAUAAUUUCCUAACGAAUUCAAUUGUAUACUUAAGGUUGGAUAAAAUAUGAUUUUAUGCAGUUCUGCAUAGAGAGUGAGAGACAAGAGCCGCUUGGGAUCGAAGAAGAGCUUGAAGAUAGAUAUGGACAUCUAUCUUAUUUGGUGGAGCGAGGAUGAGAAAAAGGAUGCUGCAGACGAAAGAGGAAUUCAGUGCAAUCACAGGACAAGUCACAUUACCAUGAUGGAUCUUCGAGUCAAUGAUGGUCCUCUAUGCUGGAAUAACGCUAAGGCUUCGAAAAGGAAUAUUAAUCGUCCAUGACUCUAACUGAGAGAUCUGAAUCAUGUAAAUCUCAGGUUAAUACUUUUGGUCCUCGCCAACUUCCAAGUUUCACUGGAUUAAGCAACUUGACAGUGACUAAACAUAUUUUGACACACUACUUCUAUAUACUUUUAUUAUAAUGUCAAGUUCUUCAUGGAAGUAUGUGUUCUGUGAUUAGUUCUGUUGGUUGCCAAAAGGAUUCCUUAUGGUAAACAAGUGGAGGAUGAUUUGGAGGACUCCGCUAAUUUUCCUGUUAACAGUCCCAAGG